rnacentral:rRNA from 1 species
AUUGAACGCUGGCGGCAGGCCUAACACAUGCAAGUCGAACGGUAACAGAGAGCAGCUUGCUGCUUUGCUGACGAGUGGCGGACGGGUGAGUAAUGUCUGGGAAACUGCCUGAUGGAGGGGGAUAACUACUGGAAACGGUAGCUAAUACCGCAUAACGUCGCAAGACCAAAGAGGGGGACCUUCGGGCCUCUUGCCAUCGGAUGUGCCCAGAUGGGAUUAGCUAGUAGGUGGGGUAAAGGCUCACCUAGGCGACGAUCCCUAGCUGGUCUGAGAGGAUGACCAGCCACACUGGAACUGAGACACGGUCCAGACUCCUACGGGAGGCAGCAGUGGGGAAUAUUGCACAAUGGGCGCAAGCCUGAUGCAGCCAUGCCGCGUGUACGAAGAAGGCCUUCGGGUUGUAAAGUACUUUCAGCGGGGAGGAAGGGAGUAAAGUUAAUACCUUUGCUCAUUGACGUUACCCGCAGAAGAAGCACCGGCUAACUCCGUG